rnacentral:rRNA from 1 species
GACGAACGCUGGCGGCGUGCCUAACACAUGCAAGUCGUGCGAGAAAGUUCCUUCGGGAGCGAGUAAAGCGGCGCACGGGUGAGUAACACGUAGGUAACCUGCCCCCCAGUCUGGAACAACUAGAGGAAACUCUAGCUAAUGCCGGAUGAGACCACGAUCCCUUCGGGGGUUGCGGCCAAAGAUGGCCUCUACUUGUAAGCUAUCGCUGAGGGAUGGGCCUGCGGGCCAUUAGCUUGUUGGUGAGGUAACGGCUCACCAAGGCUGUGAUGGCUAGCUGGUCUGAGAGGAUGACCAGCCACACUGGGACUGAGACACGGCCCAGGACUCCUACGGGAGGCAGCAGUGGGAAUAUUGCGCAAUGGGCGAAAGCCUGACGCAGCGACGCCGCGUGGGUGA